GUACCCUAACCGCGCGAAGGUAGCAUAAUCACUUGUUCUUUAAAUGAGGACUCGUAUCAAUGGCACCACGAGGACUUUACUGUCUCCUUUUUCUAAUCAGUGAAACUAAUCUUCCCGUGAAGAAGCGGGAAUAAAUAGAUAAGACGAGAAGACCCCAUGGAGCUUUAAGCUUACUGCACCUCUAUUUUCUAUAACCUCUUAUUAAACGGAAUACUGCUUACUUAGCUUUAGGUUGGGGUGACCGCGGAGUAUAACAUAACCUCCAUGAUGAACAAAACUAUUUUCUUAUCUAAGAACAACAGUUCUAAGAAUUAGUAUUCUAACAUAAAAUGAUCCGAUAAUCGAUCAACGGACUAAGUUACCCUGGGGAUAACAGCGCAAUCCAUUUCAAGAGCCCCUAUCGACAAAUGGGUUUACGACCUCGAUGUUGGAUCAGGAUAUCCUAGUGGUGCAGCAGCUACUGAAGGUUCGUUUGUUCAACGAUUAAAAUCCU
rnacentral:rRNA from 1 species